rnacentral:rRNA from 1 species
GUCAGCAGCCAUAUCACCCUGCAACUCACAACUGGCAGCCCACUGAAGCUAAGCAGGUGUGAGCCUGGUCAGUACCUGGAGGGGAGACCUCCGGGGAAAAAUUAAGGUUGCUGCCGGAA